rnacentral:rRNA from 1 species
UCGAACGCGUCUCCGUUGAUGAUUUCAGGUGCUUGCACCUGAAAGAUUUAACAUUGAGACGAGUGGCGAACUGGUGAGUAACACGUGGGUAACCUGCCCUUGAAGUAGGGGAUAACACUUGGAAACAGGUGCUAAUACCGUAUAACAACCAAAACCACCUGGUUUUGGUUUAAAAGACGGCUUCGGCUGUCACUUUAGGAUGGACCCGCGGCGUAUUAGCUUGUUGGUAAGGUAACGGCUUACCAAGGCGAUGAUACGUAGCCGACCUGAGAGGGUAAUCGGCCACAUUGGGACUGAGACACGGCCCAAACUCCUACGGGAGGCAGCAGUAGGGAACCUUCCACAAUGGACGAAAGUCUGAUGGAGCAACGCCGCGUGAGUGAUGAAGGGUUUCGGCUCGUAAAACUCUGUUGUUGGAGAAGAACAGGUGUCAGAGUAACUGUUGACAUCUUGACGGUAUCCAACCAGAAAGCCACGGCUAACUACGUGCCAGCAGCCGCGGUAAUACGUAGGUGGCAAGCGUUGUCCGGAUUUAUUGGGCGUAAAGCGAGCGCAGGCGGUUUUUUAGGUCUGAUGUGAAAGCCUUCGGCUUAACCGGAGAAGUGCAUCGGAAACCGGGAGACUUGAGUGCAGAAGAGGACAGUGGAACUCCACGUGUAGCGGUGAAAUGCGUAGAUAUAUGGAAGAACACCAGUGGCGAAGGCGGCUGUCUGGUCUGUAACUGACGCUGAGGCUCGAAAGCAUGGGUAGCGAACAGGAUUAGAUACCCUGGUAGUCCAUGCCGUAAACGAUGAGUGCUAAGUGUUGGAGGGGUUCCGCCCUUCAGUGCUGCAGCUAACGCAUUAAG